CUUACAAACACAGUGAGUAAUCUGCCCCAUUCAGAAACCAGGAUUCUGUUUCCUAGGAUACCCAGAUACACACGAGAUGCCCUUUCACAUAAGAAAGGCCACUGAAAAUGAAUGUCUCCUCCCCAACUCUGAGACGAACAAGGGACAUGUUGGAACAUGGAGGGAUAAAUGAGUACAAAUACAUCCCCAUUGGGACAGAUUGGCUGGACUUGCCCAUGGAGCUGUGAAUGAGUCCACAGACACUUGUAUGUGUAACUAGACAUCCAUUUAACCACAUGUGCACAUAAUGAUGAUUUAUGAAAAUCUACUGAAUUAUACCCGAUGCUUGGCUCUCC
rnacentral:lncRNA from 1 species